GACGAACGCUGGCGGCGUGCUUAACACAUGCAAGUCGAACGGAAGGGCCCUGCUUUUGUGGGGUGCUCGAGUGGCGAACGGGUGAGUAACACGUGAGUAACCUGCCCUUGACUUUGGGAUAACUUCAGGAAACUGGGGCUAAUACCGGAUAGGAGCUCCUGCUGCAUGGUGGGGGUUGGAAAGUUUCGGCGGUUGGGGAUGGACUCGCGGCUUAUCAGCUUGUUGGUGGGGUAGUGGCUUACCAAGGCUUUGACGGGUAGCCGGCCUGGGAGGGUGACCGGCCACAUUGGGACUGAGAUACGGCCCAGACUCCUACGGGAGGCAGCAGUGGGGAAUAUUGCACAAUGGGAGGAAGCCUGAUGCAGCAACGCCGCGUGCGGGAUGACGGCCUUCGGGUUGUAAACCGCUUUCGCCUGUGACGAAGCGUGAGUGACGGUAAUGGGUAAAGAAGCACCGGCUAACUACGUG
rnacentral:rRNA from 1 species